GCAGUCUGCCUUUGGUCAUGCCAAGAAGUUGCAAACUAAUAAACACUUUGUUAUCUCUAAAGGAAGGCAUUUAGGGUUAUAAAGUUUCAUUCAAUUGGCUUUUGUCCUGAUUCCUUGAAAUAAAUUUUGAAAUACGUUUCAAGUUUGGUGGAUAGACAGAUGCUCAGUGUGUAAUGAAUUGUCACAGCAGACAGCUGUCCAAAGUCACUUUAUUCCUGCUCUUUUCCCCUUCUGCUUGCUCUUUACUUCUGUUUGCAACAAGGAGAGGAUCUUGGUUUGGUGCUAGUCUGUGGUAUUUGUCCAUUUCAGUAAAGAAAGAGUAAGCCCCAGGCUUAGGUCUUCUGUAGGCAAUAUCUGGCUAUAAUUUAAUAAUAUAUAUUUCAUCAUAUUUAAGGGUUUUUUUGCUUCACUUUUUGUCAUGAAAAGUAGAUAAAAUCAUAAACUUUUAUGCAUUCAAAACAUAUUUAGCAAUUGUUAAAAUUUUCCAUAUUUACUUAGCUGUUAUUUUUGCUUAAAUUUUUCCAAGUAUAUACAUAGGAUGUUUUACUUAUAAAUGCUUCAGUAUUCAGUUCUUAUAAAUAAGGUCAUUUUCUUACAUAACUACAUUGUUGUGGUCAUAUUUGUGAUCAUGCUGCUUUUAUGAUUUUAUUCCAUUUAAUUUUUCUGUGUGUAAGUAAUAGAUUCACAUGUUUUAAAAUUCGAAAAAUAUGAAAGAUGCUAUAGUAAAAUGCCAUUCAUAUACUGUUCCCUGGCCACCUGAAACACAACCAGAGUCAACAUUUGCUUUCUCACAUUUUUUUUAGUAAUACUUUUAUGAUUUUGUAUUAAAAUAUAUUUAUAUAUUUUUUCUCAUUUUUACUUGAUUGUUACCAUACUAUAAAUACUGUUCUGCUCCUUACUUUUUUUUUAACCUCUAUCCUGGAAAUUAUAGCAUAUCUGCACACUAAAAUUUCCUCAUUCUUUUUUAUGUUUUUUCCUUGCAAUUAUCGUUGAAGAAAUCAGGUCAUUUGUUACGUAGAAUUUCCCAUGAGGCAUAUAUAAUGUAUGGGUGGCGAUCAAUACCAGAUCCAUUAAUUCAUUAAGGAUUGCAAAACAGUAUUACUCUAAUUUAUCAUUCUUCAUUCAUUUAUUAGCUGGAAUAUUUCUAUAAAGGAAAAGGUGCAUCCAUCUAUUCAUAUACCCAGUGGUAAAUUUCAUGUUAUUCUAUUUAUUAAUGCUCAAAUUGUUCCAUCUUUGAUCUUAAUAAUUUUUCAUUAUUUUCUUGCUAUAUGACAUUUUAAGAUGUUAAAGGACUAUGUUUUACAAUUCCUGCUCCAGGCCUGGAAUCAGCCAUUUCCCCAAAGAUUUCUGGUGUCUUUUAAAAUGAAGCAGUAUUUUAAAACCUCAGUGAAUACCAGGGAUGCUCCUUGCUAAGUGAUUUUAGGCUCUUGCAGUAGAUAGCCAGAAAAAAAGUUCAAAUUUUUUCUCUACAAAACUAGAUAUAUUCUUAAGGCCAUAGGCACUGCAAAUUAAAGUGUAUAUAUUAAAUAUGUACUUUUUGUAUAUCAAUUAUACCUCAAUAAAGCUUAAAAAAUAAAAAAUUUCUAUUCCUGUCCCCUCUAUCCUAUUCCCUUUCCGUAUACUCUCAAAUAAGUUGUUUAUCUUUGUUUCUUAAAAGAAGCAUAUGCAUAUGUUUAUGUAUAUAUAUUCCCCUCGCUUUCUUUGAUAAAUGAAAGCAUAUUCCACUUAUUUUUCUCAACCUCUUUAUUCGUGUAACAAUAUAUAUUAGAGGUUACUCCGUGGUAGUUUAUAGAGAUGUUUUACUCCUUUCUCUGGCUACAAUAAUUCUCCAUCCAGUGACUUUAGUUUAGUAGUUUAUUUAUCCAGCCCCCAUCUUUGUGAGCAUUAGGAUUAUUUUCAGUCUCACUGCUACAGAGUCUUGCUUUGUGCUUACACCCUGCUAUAUUUUAGCCAUUCUAUCCUUGAGAUAGAUUUCUAGAAAUAGGAUUGCUAGAUCAAAGGGUAAAUGCAUAUGCUAUUUUGUAAGAUACUGCCAAAUUUUCUUCAGAGCAAUUGUGCCGUUUUGCAGUACCACCAAGAAUAGAUGAGUGCUUGUUUCCCCAAAGUCUUUCUAGCAGAGUAUGUGAGUAAACCUUUAGAUUUUUGACAAUCUUGUAGGUAAGAAGGAUUAUCUGAGCAUAGGUUCAGUUAGUAUUUCUCUUACCAGCUUUUCCAUAUGAAUAAGAGCCAUCUGGAACAUAGUAUGUAUCAGUAAGACAUUAUUAAACUAAUAAUAUUCAUGUAUGAUAUUGAUACGAUUUAAAAUUUGCGAUAAGCACUAACAGUACAUCAACAAAAGUGAAGAAAGGAAGGAGGCUUUCUAAUGCUUGCUGAAACACAAGAAUAUUUGCUUUGACUAGAUCAGUAGUGAUAACAUGUAAGUUUGGCUUAGGUAAUCACAGAAUUAUGCUUAACAAGAAGGAGGCGGAAAAAGUAUUAGCAUUUUUUUUCUGCUCAUAGAGGCUGUUAGAGGCAUCUUAUCUGAAAACGUUAAUACAAGUAGAAAUUAUGAACAUAACUGAAUUCAUCAAAUACCAAAAUAUUAGUCCAGGGUAUUCUCUGAAGCUUGAAGGAUGUGUAGGAUAAUUUAUUUAGUUAUUAUUUUCGUUAUCUUUUAUGGAAUACUUAUCAUUCAUACCAAGCAUUAUGUUAAUAGCCUUUUCAAUAGAGUAUGUAUGUAGCACUAAAUAGACUGCCUUCAGUGAACAAAGUCUUAGGAUAAAUAAUAAAAGUAUUAAUGUAGUUCAUGGUUAGUAGGCAUGUAAAGAUCAUCACUAAGAGGUCAGGAAAACUGAAAGAAAAUUCUAAAAGGUCUGUAAUAGUAAUAUGGGUUUAGUUUAAUAAGCUGUGUAUACCUAUAUAAUGUACAAUUAUGUAACCAAUAAAAUGCUUUAAAGGUAUAUUUAAUAAUAUGGAAAAACUUUGCUAAUAUAUUUCAAUUAUAAAGCAGGUCUAAAGAGUGGGAUUUCAUAUUGUUUUGGAUUUUAAUUAUUUGAAAGGUAAUUUAUCAAAACAUAAAGGAUAACUAUCUUUAAUAAUAGAAUUAUGAGUUAUUUUAAUUUCUGUCUUUGUACUUUUCUGUAAUUUCAGUUUCGACAAUAAACACAAUGUUUAUAUAGUUAGAAAAGGAAACACAAGGAAAGGCAAAAAAAGCAGUAACAAACCUGAGUCCAGAAUCAAGCAGGGGAAGUCACUGGAUAAGCUUAUGGUUAACCUUGAAAUAGGUCAUUUUAUGUAAAGUUUAGACUAAAAUUUUACUUCGAUUUCAAACAUUUACAAAAUUUAAAUCAUUUAUGAUUUUAUGAAAAAGUUUUAUUUCUAUCAUAGCUUAUAGUAAGGGUCUAUUUUGAACAUUUUUUUUCUUUUUUUU